rnacentral:rRNA from 1 species
UACGUAGGGGGCAAGCGUUGUCCGGAAUUAUUGGGCGUAAAGCGCGCGCAGGCGGUUCUUUAAGUCUGGGGUUUAAACCUAGGGCUCAACCUUGGGUCGCAUCGGAAACUGGAGGACUGGAGUGUAGGAGAGGGAAGUGGAAUUCCACGUGUAGCGGUGAAAUGCGUAGAGAUGUGGAGGAACACCAGUGGCGAAGGCGACUUCCUGGCCUAUAACUGACGCUGAGGCGCGAAAGCGUGGGGAGCAAACAGG